AAGCAUGAUUCAUCAGAUUGUGCUGACUACGUCCCUGCCCUUUGUACACACCGCCCGUCGCUCCUACCGAUUGAAAGAUAUGAUGAAUUGUUUGGACAAGAAGAAGGGGGAUUAUAUCUCCUUUUUUCUGGAAAAACCGUAAAUCCUAUCUUUUAAAGGAAGGAGAAGUCGUAACAAGGUUUCCGUAGGUGAACCUGCGGAAGGAUCAUUA
rnacentral:rRNA from 1 species